AUAACUCAGGGAUAGCCUUUACGAAAGAAAGAUUUAAUACCUGAUAGUUACUUUUUUCAAGGCAUCUUAGAAAAAGUUAAAGAUUUAUUGGUUAUGGAUGGGGAUGCGUUCCAUUAGAUAGUUGGUGAGGUAACGGCUCACCAAGUCUUCGAUGGAUAGGGGUUCUGAGAGGAAGGUCCCCCACAUUGGUACUGAGACACGGACCAAACUCCUACGGGAGGCAGCAGUGAGGAAUAUUGGUCAAUGGGCGAGAGCCUGAACCAGCCAAGUAGCGUGAAGGAUGAAGGUCCUAUGGAUUGUAAACUUCUUUUAUAGUAGAAUAAAGUGAGCCACGUGUGGUUUUUUGUAUGUAUACUAUGAAUAAGGAUCGGCUAACUCCGUGCCAGCAGCCGC
rnacentral:rRNA from 1 species